UCGAAGGUAAAGGCUUACCAAGGCGAUGAUGCAUAGCCGAGUUGAGAGACUGAUCGGCCACAUUGGGGACUGAGGACACGGCCCAAAACUCCUACGGGAGGCAGCAGUAGGGAAUCUUCCACAAUGGACGCAAGUCUGAUGGAGCAACGCCGCGUGAGUGAAGAAGGUUUUCGGAUCGUAAAGCUCUGUUGUUGGUGAAGAAGGAUAGAGGUAGUAACUGGCCUUUAUUUGACGGUAAUCAACCAGAAAGUCACGGCUAACUACGUGCCCAGCAGCCGCGGGUAAU
rnacentral:rRNA from 1 species